rnacentral:rRNA from 1 species
GAUGAACGCUGGCGGCGUGCCUAAUACAUGCAAGUCGAGCGAACGGACGAGGAGCUUGCUCCUCUGACGUUAGCGGCGGACGGGUGAGUAACACGUGGAUAACCUACCUAUAAGACUGGGAUAACUUCGGGAAACCGGAGCUAAUACCGGAUAAUAUAUUGAACCGCAUGGUUCGAUAGUGAAAGACGGUUUUGCUGUCACUUAUAGAUGGAUCCGCGCCGCAUUAGCUAGUUGGUAAGGUAACGGCUUACCAAGGCAACGAUGCGUAGCCGACCUGAGAGGGUGAUCGGCCACACUGGAACUGAGACACGGUCCAGACUCCUACGGGAGGCAGCAGUAGGGAAUCUUCCGCAAUGGGCGAAAGCUUGACGGAGCAACGCCGCGUGAGUGAUGAAGGUCUUCGGAUCGUAAAACUCUGUUAUUAGGGAAGAACAAAUGUGUAAGUAACUAUGCACGUCUUGACGGUACCUAAUCAGAAAGCCACGGCUAACUACGUG